rnacentral:rRNA from 2 species
AGUUAUCGUUUAUUUGAUAGUACCUUACUACUUGGAUAACCGUGGUAAUUCUAGAGCUAAUACAUGCUAAAAACCCCGACUUCGGGAGGGGUGUAUUUAUUAGAUAAAAAACCAAUGCCCUUCGGGGCUCUUUGGUGAUUCAUGAUAACUUAACGGAUCGCAUGGCCUUGCGCCGGCGACGGUUCAUUCAAAUUUCUGCCCUAUCAACUUUCGAUGGUAAGGUAUUGGCUUACCAUGGUUUCAACGGGUAACGGGGAAUUAGGGUUCGAUUCCGGAGAGGGAGCCUGAGAAACGGCUACCACAUCCAAGGAAGGCAGCAGGCGCGCAAAUUACCCAAUCCCGACACGGGGAGGUAGUGACAAUAAAUACUGAUACAGGGCUCUUUUGGGUCUUGUAAUCGGAAUGAGUACAAUUUAAACCCCUUAACGAGGAACAAUUGGAGGGCAAGUCUGGUGCCAGCAGCCGCGGUAAUUCCAGCUCCAAUAGCGUAUAUUAAAGUUGUUGCAGUUAAAAAGCUCGUAGUUGAACCUUGGGCCUGGCUGGCCGGUCCGCCUCACCGCGUGUACUGGUCCGGCCGGGCCUUUCCUUCUGGAGAGCCCCAUGCCCUUCACUGGGCGUGCGGGGGAACCAGGACUUUUACUUUGAAAAAAUUAGAGUGUUCAAAGCAGGCCUUUGCUCGAAUACGUUAGCAUGGAAUAAUAGAAUAGGACGUGCGGUCCUAUUUUGUUGGUUUCUAGGACCGCCGUAAUGAUUAAUAGGGAUAGUCGGGGGCAUCAGUAUUCAAUUGUCAGAGGUGAAAUUCUUGGAUUUAUUGAAGACUAACUACUGCGAAAGCAUUUGCCAAGGAUGUUUUCAUUAAUCAGUGAACGAAAGUUAGGGGAUCGAAGACGAUCAGAUACCGUCGUAGUCUUAACCGUAAACUAUGCCGACUAGGGAUCGGGCGAUGUUUCUAUCUUGACUCGCUCGGCACCUUACGAGAAAUCAA